GGCGCUGCGGGGGAAGCACCGCCCUGUACGAGGGCUGAGCCUGGGGCUGAGCCGGGCCUAACCUGGGACAGAGCCUGAGGCUGCAGCGCCCGGGUUUUGCGGCGGCCGCAGGGCUUGGCUGGCGCCGUGUUCCCGCGGGGGAAUCGCCAGCCGCUCCAUCGGGGUUAAAGGACAAACUGCCAUUUUGUCUGCUGGACAGGGAUGUGGUAGUGGAGCGGUCGGGCUGAUUUUUUGGCAUUGCUUCGUAGCAGAAGGAGAAUGCUAAGUGAAAUUAGCUGUACAAAAUUGGUGUUUUAAAGCUAUUGAGCAAGAAACAAAAUUAACAUCAACAGCAGGUGGCAGUGCUAGCAAGAGCAGUGGUUCUGAUGUGAGUUGUCGGCUGGUGGUUUGUGUAGUUUCAGCUCUUCCGCAAAAGCAGUAGAGAGUGCCAGGAUCCUGUGUGCAGAGAGGACAAGACCAGCUCCCACUGAUGACUGACCCCUGGAACACCCCUCAAGCAUUGUUGUGAGGUUCAAGUAGAAGCCUGCUGUAUGUUGGUGAAGUUUACCCACUGUGCUUCUUAGAAGAAAAAAUUAGUGAAAUUGGUAAAAAAAAUCAAAGAAGAAAACCUGUAAAGUUCCCAUGCUGUGACUGUGACACACUCUUUACACCUCACCUCCUAAUUCUCUGACACAGAGAUGGACUGGAACACAUUCCCAGCGCAGCUCUACAAUAUGUCUCUGGCUUUCAACUCUCUCUGAAGAGAAUGUACCAGGUUACUGCACUGGCAGCCAGGUCUGUAUGUCUUAGAGAGAAAUCCAGGCUCAGAGAAGGUUGACUGAAGGUAUGUUUCCAAGGCACCAGGCUGGCGGGAUAGUUGUAUCCAUCAGUUGCCCUGUCUAAACUGAAGGCAUACCCAUCAUAUGAGUACACAUAUAUACACAUAUGUCUUGUGGCUGUGAAAAACCACAUGCCUUUCCUGCAGCUUUGCAGAUUGCAUUCUUGUACAUCAGUAUUCAGGUAAGUUGGAAAGCUUUCGCAAGCGGGAAGUGGAACUCAAAAAGAGAUUAAGUCAAUCUCUUGAAAAGGGCUUUAAAGCAUACUUUGUUUUUUAGGAGUUUUUUUAUUCUUUGGAACAAAAAGUGUGCUGAAUUGUUGUCAGGCAUAUAUGGAUAUAAUAUGUGAGUACAAAGAAAUGCAAGCAAGUUUGUUGACUUAUUGCCAUAGUGAGACAAAUAAUAAUUUUAAUUAAAUUGUAAUGAAAAUUGUUGUGUCAUGUUCCCCCCCCUCCCCUAGCGAAUUCAUUAUCUGAUUAGUCAAAAGGGAUAAAUAAUUCCUUUAGGUUUGCAUACCUUUUUGUCAAGCAGUAUGGAUUUUUCCUUCAUAUAUACAAAGAAAUGAAACUGGCUAAUAAUGAAAUCAUUGAGCAUCCUUAACUAUAAAAAGAACCUUUUAAAUCCAGAACUAGAGGAGGGUUCUGCAGACAAAGCAAUCUGCACACAAAACAAUCUGAAUUUCCUAUCAGAGUAACAGAAAUGAGGUGGUCCAAACACACCUCAUUGGUUCCUUCCCAUUUCUGAUGGCCUUGAAGCAGGCUUAUGCUCCUUGAUACUGGCUUUCCUAUGUUUAUUUUUGUCUACUGAAGCCUUUUUCUAUCCAGGAGAAGGAAGUGGUGUGUAUUUGCUUCUAUAUAUAAACCCAUUCCAUCUUGCAGGGUGGGUGAUGUGGCAGUAUCCCAUGGGAGGAGAGGCAGGAUUCAGAUCUGUACAAGAAUGUUUUUUAUACAUUUUAGAAUGCAUUUGACCUGAUACUUUAUAUUUAAGUAUUUAAUCUACAGAGAAUUUUAUGUCUGUAAACUUUGUCUCCUCCCUUUCUGAAGAGAGUUCUAGAAGACAAAACUGGAAAUUGAAAAGGAAAUCAGUUGCCCCAUACUCACUGGUCCUUUCAUAAGCCCCACUUACGCUUUUUUAUUAUUUUUUAUUAUUAUGUAUUGACCAAGUAUUUAAGCACAUCUUUAGUCCAAGCCAAUUCGGAGGGUGUUGGUACAAGGCCACCCCAAAGCAAGUAAUCUCUGAUUUGUAGUAAAGCCAGGUUAUGACUGAUAGUUUUAAAUACAGUGAAGAUCUUGGAGGAGGCAAAACACUUGACUUGAUGUUCAACUUGAGAAGACUUGCUUAUGGCUUGAACUAAAAUCAAGAAGAAGCAGCAGAUGUUGGAGGGGCGAUUACCAUUAUAAUAGAAUCAUUCAGGCAAUCCUAUUUAAUUUGAUUUAUUUUGUUUUCUGUUAUACUCUCAGAUACCUUUCAGACAUAUGAUUCUUUUUGUUUGGAGUCUAAUCCGUACUUCAUUAAAUCUAAUCCACUGGUAUUUGAAUAGUUCUGGACAUUUUUUUGCAUUGAUAUAUGUCAUUGGGAUGUAAGAAACUUCAAAAAACUCUUGUCAUCAAACACAGACCUUUGUUAUUACAGUUGAGCACAUCUUAGAAUCCUGUUCAUCAGCUUAUCCAACUGUAAUUUAAAAACAAACUUAUUUGUUCUGCUGCAUCUGUAGGGUCUAAAUUUGACUCUUCUGAAGGUCAGAGGGUAUGAACUGGAGAAUCUGUCCUUUUACCUGAUGUGAAACUAGUGCUAAACAUAAUAUCACUCUUAGAAUAUAUAUUUUUCCACAGAUAGAUAAAUAAGAUUUGCUUAAGAACUUUUAAAAUUAAUUUGGAAAAUUUACUGUUUUUCUGAACCUCUGGGAUUCUGUAUAUGACACCUUUUUCUAAGAUGGAGGCAACAGUGGCUUUUUCUUUCCCUCUGCUGACUUCUGGUUCACCGAUACACCUUCCCUCAUAGCAAUUUAAAGCACUGCCAACAAAAGAUGCUUUACCAUGUGUUGAAUCUGUCAAGCUUUUAACUAGUUUCUCCUCAGGUGUCCACUGAAGAUGAAGCAGGUUUUGAACAAACGUGUCUCGGGGACUGUUGGUUAGCUAAUUUUUCAUCUGAGUUUCCAGCUGCACCAGAAACCUGAGUAAGGAAAAAAAGAAGGAUAUUUUCAAGACAAAUUCUCACUGAAGUAGAAUAAGCAAUGCAGCGUUUGCUAUUUGUCUUUUGAGAUAAAUUUAACCACUUACCUUUGCCUGUUGCUUUGUUUUCUCUGUGUAAGUCACCAGCAGUGCAAAAUUUGACUGAAAAUACAGGCAGAGAUCUUUUGAGCACAUCUUCCUCGUACUUCCUAGAAAUUUAUGCUGACUGCUAUUUCUGCCAUAAGGAAUUUCUAAUUAUGAAGCAGUCUUGGGGCAAAAGUGAUUCAUAAUGAGUUGGCAGUGUCUAAUAAACUUAUAAGUAGUUAUGUAUCAUUAUGAGAUAAUAAAGUAAUCAAAUAAUGUGUUUCCAGUGCUGCCAGUAAGAAGCUGCACUAGAAACCAGGAGGGAGCAUGGCCAGGGCAGGUGAUCUGAACUGGCCGAAGUGGUAUGCCAUUCCAUAGAACAUCAUGCUCAGUACAUAAAGUAGAAGUCCUGAUUGCUUUGCAGGGACAGGCUGAGAAUCAGUUGACAGGUGGUGAGCAGUUGUUUGUGCAUAAAUUUGGUUUCUUAGAUUUUAAUCCCAUUAUUAUUAUUAUUAUUAUUAUUAUUAUUAUUAUUGUUAAUUAUCAUUAUAUUAUGGUCUUAAUUUUUUCUUUUAUUUCAGUUAUUAAUCUGUUUUUAUGUCAGUCCAACGGUUUUACCCUUUUCUAAUUCUCCUUGCUAUCCAGAGUUGGUUGGUAGUGGCAAGGGAAAUGGGCAAGGGAUUGGAUGGUAAUUAGUUGUCCACUGGGGUUUAACCACUGCACCUACUAGUGCCUCUAGGUGAGGCUGUUUUUCGGUAUUAUUAAAUCAACAUUUUCUUACAGUGCCUAUUAAACUAAAGAAUUCCAGCAAAUAACACACAUCAAAGUCCAGGAAACACUUGACAUGAAGAUUUUACGUGAGAGAUGUUAAAACAUUUACCGUUCUGCCUUGCAGUAUGGUAUCCGUGGGUUUUCCUACAUGCAUCCUGAGAUAGUUGCUGAUUCUUGUCUCUUUAAUGGCUUUGAUGGAAACAAGUCUGUUUGCUGCUGUUACUGUGUGUAACAUACCUCGGAACACAGGAUUGAGAGAAACUGGUGAUUUUACAGUUCCAGUCCUCUUCGAUAAAGUGUCCGAGAUGAAAUGAAUACACUUCUGAGACUGUUGCCUAGAGGCCAGGGAAACUGCUACAACAAAGUGAAGACAGAAGUAACAGACAUGCUAACAAGUGCAGAACUGAGAACAUGGGGCAGAAUGUGCCCAGACAGAAUUAUUCUGAGAGAGACACUGCAAUGUAUAUAAAAUUUUGCACUCACGCAUCUAAACUAGUACAAUAACUAAUUUUGAAAUGCUAUUGACAGGUAAGUACAACUGACUAAAACUUGAUGUAAAAUAUUCCAGUCCUAUGGAAUUAUAAACCCGGAUGAUUAAAGAGAAUAUCGUUCUUGUUAACUUGCAAUUUCCUAGACAGAAAAAGAAGGGAUAUGUUUUUAUUAGUGUUUACGUUCAUUAUUUAUAAAUACGUACCUUUGUUUAAAUUGGAAUGAUCAAUUCUUUACUCUUAGUGGGGAAGAGGAGACUUAAUAUUAAUUCCAGACCUCCAAGAAUGUAAUUUCCACUUUUAGGUGCAUUCUCAGAUUGCUACUUUGUGAUAGUAGUAUGAAAGUAACAGUUGUAAAUGCUGGGGCUGUGAGAGGCUUGUGCAUUUAUGAAAACCAUUUACGAUGGGCCUUGUGUCCUUGGGAUAAAAAGUGUUUUCCCCUGGAGUUAGAAAAGUGGUUAACCCUGGGUGGUGCUGUUCCUGAUGUGCCAGGGCCAAUCAGAAGCUACAUUUCGCUACUGUAAAAAUCAACAUAUGGCACAGACAGGAAGAGAAGGAAGUUGAGGUAGUUGAAAAAGUUGUAGCCAUGUUGUGAAGCCAUGAGGAGGGUCUCAAACUGUGACACCUUGUUAGCUUCUCAGUGUAACAAACCUUUCCCUCAGAAAGAAAUUCCAGUGUUAUGAAUUAUUGCAGCCCAGGCGGAAUAGGGAGUGAAGAUUGAGGCUGUAGCUGUACAGGCUAUGGAAAGACUGAUGUGAAGAGGAAGAUCAUUAACAAGGGGAUUAAGAAAGCGGUCCAGGUAAACAGUAAGAUAUAGAUGGUCUAAUUAUUAACAUAAGAUUUCUGUAUGGGAAUAUCUGUGGAAAAGGAAGGGCUACUUCAGCGUUCCCUUACAGAAAGUGGACUGGUGGACCUGAAGAUGGUGGAGCAAAAGCUGAGGAAUUACUCAGAGGUGCAAGAUGAAGUGUGAAGUUCUGUGAACCUUGAGACUGCUUUGAACUGUUACCAGUAGCUUCUGAAAUUUACAGACAGGGACAUGUUGUAGAUCCUUGUAUGUUUUUGCAACUCCUUGUGUUUUUCAUGAUGUCAUUGUGAAUGAUUCUGGGACAUUUCAAGUUGGUUUGCGUUAAAAAAAAAAAAAAAGAAGGAGAAAAUACUAUAGUGGAAGACUGCAGUUACUGAAAAAACAUGAGUUACUGAGGUUUUUAACACAUGAUUGCGGAGUAUGUAAGUAGAAGAAUAAUCAGUUUGGUUCUCACACUUAACUUGCAACUGGUAGAUUUUUCUCUGGAGAUAUUUUUCCACAUAUCGUAAGACAUAUUUUUCUAAAUGUUUGCCUUUCUUUCUAUACCAUUUAUGUCUGCAAACAAUUAGGAGCAAAGCAUGGUACUAGAUAAUGCAAGCUACCUGCACUAACUCAGUAUAGUCCGAGAUAACACUAUAGGUCCCCAUCUUUAUGAGUGUAAAUACGUUAAGAAGUUUAUGCGGUUUAAAGGAAAUAACAGAACUGUGGAUAAGAAAGGAGAAAAAAAAAUACAGACUCUGUGUUUGUGGUGUAAAGGUUAAAUGAGAGGAAGAUCUGAGGAUGAUAGUAGAAUUUCAUCAAAUACCAGGAAAAAUUCUAGGUGGCUUUGAUAGCUAUAUAAAUCAUAACAUUGGAAUUUUGUAUGUAAUUCUGAAUGUGAAAGGGUUAAAAAAAGUAAAAAGAGUAAACACAUGACAUAGGAGUGACAUUCUUACAUCACACUUCAGCCUAAGAACUGAAAAAAACAAAAAACAAACUCUGUACGUAAGAGAACAGUUUUUUUUCCUGUCUUACAUACUCUAGACAUGAUUUCUUUUGAGUUUUCUUUCAUUUGGGAAGCAUUGUACUAAUGGUCAACUGGAAAAGGCAGAGCAAAAAGCUUGAAUUGAUAUGACACUUAUCUGUAAAUUUGCGGUCAGCUGGGUAAAUAAGGAUUUAGGUCCUAUUUUGAAAAUAUGUAUUUACUCUGUAAAAUGUAAUGGUUUGAGGGGGAAAAAAGUCUCACUAUGCUCUAUAAGCUAUAUAUGCAUUUUGGGCACUUUUAGAAGUGAGUGAAAUGGCUCUUUUUUACUAAUAAAAAGGUCUCAAAUUGAAUGAGUGCAUACAAAACAUUAUUUUCUGCCACUUAGAAUAAGACCUUUAGUAUUUUAAUUUACCAUUGAUUUAUCCACAGUCACUAAUCUCAAAAGUCCAGCUGUUAUUUACAGUUUUGGAGCUAUGUCACUAUUCACUUUGAACUUUUUGGUAACCUCUGUGUUGCUAUAUGAAUCUAUAAAGUUAAUUAACAUAGAGGCACUAAGAUUUUCAGUUUGUUUUGUUCAAGAAUAUCACUAAGCCAUGCUUUAAUUAGAUUAGUUUUAGAUGCUGACUUGGUAUGGAUUCAGGUACCAUUCAUGGGAAUAGGGUCAAAAUCCUUCCCUCAAAUAAACAGAUUUUGCAACUUUGUUGACUUUAGUGUUAUAUAAUCAGUGUGGAAACAGAUUAUGCUGUUUCAUUUGGAGUUUUUUCAGGAGGAAUAUAAUAAGCAAGAAGUUAUUAAGGAGUACUGACUUUUCAUAAUUUAAACUUUGAAUUGUGUUUCUAAGAAUGCAAAUUAUAAAGUCGCCAUUAAAUUUACCUAAGACAACUUUUUAUAACCAUUGGAGAUAGGAUAGACAAGGCUUCAGAUUCUGAGGAAUAUAGGGAAAGCAAACCUCUAGUCAGCUUUCUGGUGAAACCUGAGCACUUUAUGAAUUACAUAUCAUGCAGUUGUUUGUAAUUUUAAAGCAUUGAUUUUCAUGGCUUGGGUUUUCUUCUACUUCUAAGCAAGUAAAUUUGCAUUACACGAACAAAUUGUAGGCCAUUACUCUCAUUUGCAGAGAUGAUCAAUUACCUAGUCCUUCCAUGUACACCUUUGACUUCUCUUUCAAAUAAAAUGAAAAAAGAUAUAUUUGCAUCUUCAAUUUUUUAAAAAUCUGUUUCUACAUGGGGAGAAAAAAUAUAAAUGUUAUCUCUUAAAUCAGAAUACAUCAUUAGAUCAGAAUAAGACUUGCAAACUCAGAACCUCUACUAGCAGAAAUCAAUGGACAAAAGCCAUGAACAAGAGAAAUCCUAGGGAUACUAAGAAGUUUGCUGGUGAUACUAAGUUGGGAGGAGCUGUUGACAUCCUGGAGGGCAGAGAGGCCCUGAAGAGAGACCUUAACAAAUUAGAAAGAGAUAGCAGAUCACCAACCAUAUGAAGUUCAAUGAAGACAAGUUCCAAAUUCUGCACUUUGGAUGGCGCAACCCUGGAUGUAUGGACAGACUGGGGAAUGAGAUGCUAGGAGACAGUGCUGUGGAA